GCCGGCAUAGCUCAGUUGGUAGAGCACCUGAUUUGUAAUCAGGGGGUCGCGGGUUCAAGUCCUGCUGCCGGCACCA
rnacentral:tRNA from 1 species